rnacentral:rRNA from 1 species
CAUCAUGCCCCUUACUGACCUGGGCGUACACACGUGCUACAAUGGUUGGUACAACGAGUUGCGAGUCGGUGACGGCGAGCUAAUCUCUUAAAGCCAAUCUCAGUUCGGAUUGUAGGCUGCAACUCGCCUACAUGAAGUCGGAAUCGCUAGUAAUCGCGGAUCAGCACGCCGCGGUGAAUACGUUCCCGGGCCUU